rnacentral:rRNA from 1 species
UACAGAGGUGCCGAGCGUUAGGCGGAAUCACUGGGCUUAAAGCGUGUGUAGGCGGAUGCCUAAGUACCUUGUGAAAUCCCCCGGCUUAACCGGGGAACUGCUUGGUAUACUGGGUGUCUUGAGCCACUUAGGGGCGACCGGAACAAACGGUGGAGCGGUGAAAUGCGUAGAUAUCGUUUGGAACGCCAAUGGUGAAAACAGGUCGCUGGGAGUGUGCUGACGCUGAGACACGAAAGCCAGGGGAGCGA